rnacentral:RNase_P_RNA from 1 species
CCAGACGGCUGGACGAUCGCUGUGUAUGAGAUGAGGAUCGCAUAUAGGGAGGAAAGUCCGGGCUCCAUGGGAAGACGGUACCGGCUAACUGCCGGCGAGGGCGACCUCAGGGAAAGUGCCACAGAAAACAGACCGCCCGCCGGACUGUGCCCUACGCGUUCAUUCGCCGGGGAGCAUGUUGCGGGUAAGGGCGAAACGGUGCGGCAAGAGCGCACCGCAUCCCCGGCAACGGAGAUGGUCACGGCAAACCCUACCGGGAGCAAGACCGAAUAGGAGCGGCAGGCUUUUGCAAGAAAGCCGGGGGUUUCUCGCCUCGUCGUUCGGGUUGGUUGCGUGAGGCCCGCAGCAAUGCGGGUCCCAGAGGAAUGAUCGUCCCGCCUUUCAGGCGGACAGAACCCGGCUUACAGGCCGUCUGGCAUC